AUUGAACGCUGGCGGCAGGCCUAACACAUGCAAGUCGAGCGGAGCGGCGGACGGGUGAGUAAUGCCUAGGCAUCUGCCUGGUAGUGGGGGAUAACGUCCGGAAACGGGCGCUAAUACCGCAUACUAUCAGAUAAGCCUCGGUCGGAUUAGCUCGUUUGUGGGUUAAAGGCCUACCAAGGCGACGAUCCGUAACUGGUCUGAGAGGAUGAUCAGUCACACUGGAAAUGAGACACGGUCCAGACUCCGUCGGGAGGCAGCAGUGGGGAAUAUUUGACAAUGGGCGAAAGCCUGAUCCAGCCAUGCCGCGUGUGUGAAGAAGGUCUUCGGAUUGUAAAUCACUUAAAGUUGGGAGGCGUUACGAACAGAAUAAGCACCGGCUAACUUCGUGCCAGCAGCAGCGGUAAUAG
rnacentral:rRNA from 1 species